GAUGAACGCUGGCGUCGUGCCUAAUACAUGCAAGUCGAGCGAACGGACGAGAAGCUUGCUUCUCUGAUGUUAGCGGCGGACGGGUGAGUAACACGUGGAUAACCUACCUAUAAGACUGGGAUAACUUCGGGAAACCGGAGCUAAUACCGGAUAAUAUUUUGAACCGCAUGGUUCAAAAGUGAAAGACGGUCUUGCUGUCACUUAUAGAUGGAUCCGCGCUGCAUUAGCUAGUUGGUAAGGUAACGGCUUACCAAGGCAACGAUGCAUAGCCGACCUGAGAGGCUGAUCGGCCACACUGGAACUGAGACACGGUCCAGACUCCUACGGGAGGCAGCAGUAGGGAAUCUUCCGCAAUGGGCGAAAGCCUGACGGAGCAACGCCGCGUGAGUGAUGAAGGUCUUCGGAUCGUAAAACUCUGUUAUUAGGGAAGAACAUAUGUGUAAGUAACUGUGCACAUCUUGACGGUAACUAAUCAGAAAGCCACGGCUAACUACGUG
rnacentral:rRNA from 1 species